rnacentral:rRNA from 1 species
UAGUUGGUGAGGUAACGGCUCACCAAGGCGACGAUCAGUAGCUGGUCUGAGAGGAUGAUCAGCCACAUUGGGACUGAGACACGGCCCAAACUCCUACGGGAGGCAGCAGUGGGGAAUAUUGGACAAUGGGGGCAACCCUGAUCCAGCCAUGCCGCGUGGGUGAAGAAGGCCUUCGGGUUGUAAAGCCCUUUUGUACGGGAAGAAAAGCGGCGGGUGAAUAUCCCGUCGUCAUGACGGUACCGUAAGAAUAAGCACCGGCUAACUUCGUGCCAGCAGCCGCGGUAAUACGAAGGGUGCAAGCGUUACUCGGAAUUACUGGGCGUAAAGCGUGCGUAGGCGGUUUGUUAAGUCUGAUGUGAAAUCCCCGGGCUCAACCUGGGAAUGGCAUUGGAAACUGGCGAGCUAGAGUACGGUAGAGGGUGGUGGAAUUCCCGGUGUAGCAGUGAAAUGCGUAGAGAUCGGGAGGAACAUCUGUGGCGAAGGCGGCCACCUGGACCAGUACUGACGCUGAGGCACGAAAGCGUGGGGAGCAAACAGGAUUAGAUACCCUGGUAGUCCACGCCCUAAACGAUGCGAACUGGAUGUUGGGGGCAACUUGGCCCUCAGUAUCGAAGCUAACGCGUUAAGUUCGCCGCCUGGGGAGUACGGUCGCAAGACUGAAACUCAAAGGAAUUGACG